UAGGGAAUCUUCCGCAAUGGACGCAAGUCUGACGGAGCAACGCCGCGUGAGUGAAGAAGGAUUUCGGUUCGUAAAACUCUGUUGUUAGAGAAGAACAGCGCAUAGAGUAACUGUUAUGCGUGUGACGGUAUCUAACCAGAAAGCCACGGCUAACUACGUGCCAGCAGCCGCGGUAAUACGUAGGUGGCAAGCGUUGUCCGGAUUUAUUGGGCGUAAAGCGAGCGCAGGCGGUCAAUUAAGUCUGAUGUGAUAGCCCCCGGCUCAACCGGGGAGGGUCAUUGGAAACUGGUUGACUUGAGUGCAGAAGAGGAGAGUUGAAUUCCAUGUGUAGCGGUGAAAUGCGUAUAUAUAUGGAGGAACACCAGUUGCGAAGGCGACUCUCUGGUCUGUAACUGACGCUGAGGCUCGAAAGCGUGGGUAGCAAACAGG
rnacentral:rRNA from 1 species